ACUCCUACGGGAGGCAGCAGUAGGGAAUCUUCCACAAUGGGCGCAAGCCUGAUGGAGCAACACCGCGUGAGUGAAGAAGGGUUUCGGCUCGUAAAGCUCUGUUGUUAAAGAAGAACACGUAUGAGAGUAACUGUUCAUACGUUGACGGUAUUUAACCAGAAAGUCACGGCUAACUACGUGCCAGCAGCCGCGGUAAUACGUAGGUGGCAAGCGUUAUCCGGAUUUAUUGGGCGUAAAGAGAGUGCAGGCGGUUUUCUAAGUCUGAUGUGAAAGCCUUCGGCUUAACCGGAGAAGUGCAUCGGAAACUGGAUAACUUGAGUGCAGAAGAGGGUAGUGGAACUCCAUGUGUAGCGGUGGAAUGCGUAGAUAUUAGGAGGAACACCAGUGGCGAAGGCGACUUACUGGACUGUAACUGACGCUGAUGCACGAAAGCGUGGGUAGCGAACAGGAUUAGAUACCCUGGUAGGAUAGCG
rnacentral:rRNA from 1 species